CUAAGGGGUGCCGAAAGGCUGAGAUUAUACCCAUUGAACCUGAUUAGGAUAAUGCCUGCGCAGGGAAGAUG
rnacentral:ncRNA from 1 species